CCUCCAUUUCUUGACACGCAUGUGGUUGAUCAGUACUCGUGUGUAAUGCUCGGAGGAAAAUUAACAUACAGCGCUAUGUCUUCGGUGCUGGUGUGUUUAAUUGUCCACCAGUUCUAUCCUCAAUCGCUGUGACAUGA